CUGCUCAUUCUGGCAGCAAAUACACUAAAAUUGGAACGAUACGGAGAUUAGCGUGGCCCCUGUGCAAGGAUGACAGGAAAACUCAUGAAGCAUUCCAUAUAUUU